GCAGCUUUUGUCUCCCAGGUACUAGGAGGCUGUGUGCUCAUCAUUCUUGCAUUCCAGGGGCCUUUGUUCUACGUUCUAAGGGGCUUUGUUCUCUGUCUUCUAUGAUGCUCUAUUCUCAACGUUCUCUGGUCCUAGGAGUCUGAGCCUGACAUUCGUUUCCAAGGCUUCCUGCUGUCUCUCCAGGCUCCGCAAGCAGGGCUGGGGCACCCUCAGGUAUGUCUCUCCACUGGAAGGGCAGUCCUUGGCUGUCUCAGUCACCGCUGUGUCCCCAGCAUCACCCAGCUCAGUGACACAAAGGAAUGAGUGAAUAUAUACUUCUCUAUAUAUUUCAUGUAUAGAGGUCAUCACAUCAACAUAAAAUAAAAUACUGAAUGUUACAUAUC
rnacentral:antisense_RNA from 1 species